GUAUUCGGCGAUUGACAUUCCAAUUUGAACGCUAGCAAUAAAUCCCCAAACUUCCGGGGCAAAGUUUAAGCUAAAAAGGGCCACUGAUUUCAGAAACAGCGGUGGCUGUAACUUGUUGUCCCAUAUGUACUGACACUAUCAAGAAGAGGAGAACACACAUUGCUUGCUAUAAAUCAUGAAAAUGCUUGUGUUGAAAAGCUCUCUAACUAGCUAUCUAGCUGGCUAAUUGACUGGCUAGCCUUUUGCGACAGUGACACAACUUUAUCAGCGAUUAAGUAGCAUAUUGCGCAAAUCAAUUUACGACUGUUGUCAGCGGUAACUUAGCAACUGGAGCAGCAGUACGGUCAAAUGUAUGUUCGCUUUGUUCUAUCUGUGGUAUGGUUAGCUAGAAUACCAAGUAAGGUAGCCAAAUAUGUUGGGGCAGGUAUAUGAAAAAAGUUCGUGUUAGCUAGCUGUAACUACACAAUUGUCAAGAUGCCUCCUCAUCUUGACUGGAGUAGGGUAAUUGAUGCUGACCCAGAACAACUGCAGGAGAGUGGCGAUGCAGAGAUAAUCAACCAAAUGUUUCUACAGGUCAAACAAUGGGAGAGGGAGCUGGAAGCCCAGAGAAAAUAGUUCAGCUCUUGCGUGUCGCUCAGGGCCUUCUAAAGUGGAAGAAAGAGGAGGUAACCAUGGCAUUUGAACUCAUUGAUAAUGCUGGUACAGAAGCAUUGUUAGAAAUUAAGCGUU